rnacentral:rRNA from 1 species
UACGAAGGGGGCUAGCGUUGUUCGGAAUUACUGGGCGUAAAGCGUAUGCAGGCGGACCGUUAAGUCGGAGGUGAAAUCCCAGGGCUCAACCCUGGAACUGCCUUCGAUACUGGCGGCCUUCGAGUCCGGGAGAGGUGAGUGGAACUCCGAGUGUAGAGGUGAAAUUCGUAGAUAUUCGGAAGAACACCAGUGGCGAAGGCGGCUCACUGGCCCGGUACUGACGCUGAGAUACGAAAGCGUGGGGAGCGAACAGG